rnacentral:rRNA from 1 species
UAUUGGACAAUGGGCGCAAGCCUGAUCCAGCAAUACCGCGUGUGUGAAGAAGGCCUUAGGGUUGUAGAGCACUUUCAAUUGGGAGGAAAACCUGCCGGUCAAUACCCGGUAGCUUGACAUUACCUUUAGAAGAAGCACCGGCUAUCUCCGUGCCAGCAGCCGCGGUAAUACGGAGGGUGCGAGCGUUAAUCGGAAUUACUGGGCGUAAAGCGUGCGUAGGCGGUUCGUUAAGUCAGAUGUGAAAGCCCUGGGCUCAACCUGGGAACUGCAUUUGAAACUGGCGGACUAGAGUUUAGUAGAGGGGAGUGGAAUUUCAGGUGUAGCGGUGAAAUGCGUAGAUAUCUGAAGGAACACCAGUGGCGAAGGCGACUCCCUGGACUAGAACUGACGCUGAGGUACGAAA